rnacentral:rRNA from 1 species
GCAAGCAGCCGCGGUAAUACGGAGGGUGCGAGCGUUAAUCGGAAUUACUGGGCGUAAAGCGCAUGCAGGUGGUUUGUUAAGUCAGAUGUGAAAGCCCGGGGCUCAACCUCGGAAUUGCAUUUGAAACUGGCAAACUAGAGUACUGUAGAGGGGGGUAGAAUUUCAGGUGUAGCGGUGAAAUGCGUAGAGAUCUGAAGGAAUACCGGUGGCGAAGGCGGCCCCCUGGACAGAUACUGACACUCAGAUGCGAAAGCGUGGGGAGCAAACAGGAUUAGAUACCCUGGUAGUCCACGCCGUAAACGAUGUCUACUUGGAGGUUGUGGCCUUGAGCCGUGGCUUUCGGAGCUAACGCGUUAAGUAGACCGCCUGGGGAGUACGGUCGCAAGAUUAAAACUCAAAUGAAUUGACGGGGGCCCGCACAAGCGGUGGAGCAUGUGGUUUAAUUCGAUGCAACGCGAAGAACCUUACCUACUCUUGACAUCUACAGAAGCCAGCGGAGACGCAGGUGUGCCUUCGGGAACUGUAAGACAGGUGCUGCAUGGCUGUCGUCAGCUCGUGUUGUGAAAUGUUGGGUUAAGUCCCGCAACGAGCGCAACCCUUAUCCUUGUUUGCCAGCACUUCGGGUGGGAACUCCAGGGAGACUGCCGGUGAUAAACCGGAGGAAGGUGGGGACGACGUCAAGUCAUCAUGGCCCUUACGAGUAGGGCUACACACGUGCUACAAUGGCGCAUACAGAGGGCGGCCAACUUGCGAAAGUGAGCGAAUCCCAAAAAGUGCGUCGUAGUCCGGAUUGGAGUCUGCAACUCGACUCCAUGAAGUCGGAAUCGCUAGUAAUCGUGGAUCAGAAUGCCACGGUGAAUACGUUCCCGGGCCUUGUACACACCGCCCGUCACACCAUGGGAGUGGGCUGCAAAAGAAGUGGGUAGUUUAACCUUCGGGAGGACGCUCACCACUUUGUGGUUCAUGACUGGGGUGAAGUCGUAACAAGGUAACCG